rnacentral:rRNA from 1 species
AAGGCAGCAGUGGGGAAUAUUGCACAAUGGGGGAAACCCUGAUGCAGCCAUGCCGCGUGUGUGAAGAAGGCCUUCGGGUUGUAAAGCACUUUCAGUUGUGAGGAAAGGUUGGUAGUUAAUACCUGCCAGCUGUGACGUUAACAACAGAAGAAGCACCGGCUAACUCCGUGCCAGCAGCCGCGGUAAUACGGAGGGUGCGAGCGUUAAUCGGAAUUACUGGGCGUAAAGCGCACGCAGGCGGUUUGUUAAGCUAGAUGUGAAAGCCCCGGGCUCAACCUGGGAUGGUCAUUUAGAACUGGCAGACUAGAGUCUUGGAGAGGGGAGUGGAAUUCCAGGUGUAGCGGUGAAAUGCGUAGAUAUCUGGAGGAACAUCAGUGGCGAAGGCGGCUCCCUGGCCAAAGACUGACGCUCAUGUGCGAAAGUGUGGGUAGCGAACAGGAUUAGAUACCCUGGUAGUCCACACCGUAAACGCUGUCUACUAGCUGUUUGUGAAUUUAAUUCGUGAGUAGCGAAGCUAACGCGAUAAGUAGACCGCCUGGGGAGUACGGCCGCAAGGUUAAAACUCAAAUGAAUUGACGG